CAGCCGCGCGAGGGAGAACUCCAGAGCGCGGCGCUCUACGGUCAGCGCACCAUUGGAGUUCGCGUCGUUCACGUGUCGCGAAAUCAGGCGCGGUUUCCGGCACACUGACCGUUGCAAAGGUUCAACCGGUCCGAACCCACGGCCGGUAGUUUUCUCCGCGUCUGGCGGAGGCUGUCGCGGCAGGCUCUGGACCAGAAAACGAGUAGAAGGCUUGUCGCUCUUAGGUGACUAAGCAGUUUCACAAAUAAGCAGCAACUUUACAGAUAAUUAGGCUCAACUCAGAGGAAGUGGAAUUUCUCCUGGUGCACAAUGUGUACCACCUCCAAUGAGGCAAAGACUCCAACUGCUACUUGUGAUGAUCCUGGUGGUGAUCUUGGUGAUGGUCUUAGUGGUGGUAGUGGUGAAGAGAGCAGUAUUCCUGUUGACUGUCCAGAGGAUUCUCCAUCUGUGAAUCCUCAGGAACAAUUUCAACCGAACAUACCCCACACUGAAGAACCAAGACAAUUUCUGGUGGUCAUUAGCCAAUGUCAGGUCAUAUAUGAUGCCAUUCAACUGCUAGAUAAGAAGUGUGAUGCUAUUGAUAGAAAGGUGUCAGAAAUUCAACAUUCACAAGUGAAACACGGUUGGGACUCUCCUAAGCAACUCACAAGACAGAGCUUCUCAGAUUUGGAAAGAGCUGAAGCCGAGGAAAUGGAGAGAAUAGAGCAUUUCACUUCAUUUUCUCACUCUGAAAGUUAUAGCCCAAGUUCACCAGUUCGCAGACCAGAAGAUAGUGGUGAGGAAAAUACGAUGCCAUUUUUGGAUUAUGAAGAAUCACAGGAAACAGAGCAGGAACCCCUGCAGGAGGAGGAGCCAGUCUGUGGUGGUUCACCAGUUCCUAACCAGUGCUGUGGCCGUACUCACUGUACAUGUGUGAGAUAUCCUGAUAUGCCUGCCAGCCCCAGGUAUCCUGACAGCAACAGCAUGUCGCCUACAGAAAUUUCCACAAUAUCACAUUCACCAACUCUGACCCAGAGAUAUUCCGGCCUGAAACGUAACUUGGACAUGAGCAGCUCUUCUUCAGCUGUGCAUCUGGAGGAGAUCAGGUAUUGUCUGAUUCUGAAAGCUUCACUGGAAAUUGGUCCUGGCUGACUGCCUGAGUCUCCAUCCCACAUGUCAGACUUGCUAUCUAUGCUCUUUGGAAUUCAUGUGCAAGUUGUUUGUUUCCUAUUUUGAGGGCUGGUUUUAGGUGACAUUUAUAAUGACUAACAUUUAUUGAUUGUACAUUAUGUGCAAGGCACUGUAUUGAUCAACUAAUAUGGCUCUUCUCCACUGAUAUCUAUAAUGCCCCCUUGGAGUGUUUUUAAUCUGCUAUUUUUCUUUACCCUUUUCCCUGGAUAAAUAAUUCUAAACACCCCUGAAAUGCCCACAUACCAGAUAAUAGGAAAGAAAUGCUAUGCCUUUAAUUAAUUCAUACAAAAGAGGAUAAUUUGUGUUGAUAUUACUAGGUUCUAGUGAAUAAUAAAACCUCCUUCUGUUAUCCUCACACACUAACUUUGGGGAGUCCAGCUUUCUCCUUGAGUGAAUGAAUACUUGUCAGGACACAAAGAAAUGUCAGCACAACUGACAAUGAACAGCAUGGCUAAAACCUGUUGAGGUCUAAUUAUUUCAUACCUCAGUUGUUUAUUAAAAAAUAUAAACC
rnacentral:lncRNA from 1 species